rnacentral:rRNA from 1 species
ACUCCAUCCAGGCUAGAUACAGACAGCAGGACGGUGUAAACUCCAUCCAAGGCUAGAUACAGACAGCAGGACGGUGUAGACUCCAUCGAGGGUAGAUACAGGAAGCAGGACGGUAUAAACUGCAUCCACUGUGGUGAUUGAUCUAACGACGGGGCCAUUGAAUGACGUUUCGAUCAUCGGUGCACUUUCCUCGCCUGGGCCCGACCACGACCGGUGAGCUGAUCUGUCUGUCGUGCUUGGAAGAUAGCGCCGUCUUCGGAAGGCGUGUUAUAGACAGGCAUACGGAGCAGUCGGCGCACUGGAUGAUAGUGCCUGCCCAUCUGGGCUCAUAUGGUGGUUGUUUUGUUGGCGAGUUCUGAUGUCACUACUUCGGUAGAGUCGUUAGACUCUGUUGGCAUUAUGGCUGUCCUCUAUGAUUGGCACUGUUAAGUCUGUGGUUGUGAAGUAGGUAGUCCACCUGACCCGUCUUGAAACACGGACCAAGGAGUCUAACAUGUGCGCGAGUCAUUGGGUUCACGAAACCUAAAGGCGCAGUGAAGGUAAAGAUCUGUUUUGGCAGAUUGAGGUGGGAUGCCGGGUUACGCGCCCGGCCGCACUACCGGCCCGUUCUAUAUGUCUUUCAUAGGAGCGGAGCAAGAGCGUACACGUUGGGACCCGAAAGAUGGUGAACUAUGCUUGCGCAGGUCGAAGCCAGAGGAAACUCUGGUGGAGGACCGCAGCGAUUCUGACGUGCAAAUCGAUCGUCAAACGUGAGUAUAGGGGCGAAAGACUAAUCGAACCAUCUAGUAGCUGGUUCCCUUCGAAGUUUCCCUCAGGAUAGCUGGCACUCGGGAAAUCAAACAGUUUUAUCCGGUAAAGCGAAUGAUUAGAGGUAUUGGGACGAAACUGCUCUCAACCUAUUCUCAAACUUUAAAUGGGUAAGAUGCCCGACUCGGUCAAACUCCAUCCAAGGCUAGAUACAGACAGCAGGCCGGUGUAAACUCCAUCCAAGGCUAGAUACAGACAGCAGGACGGUGUAAACUCCAUCCAAGGCUAGAUACAGACAGCAGGACGGUA